ACAACAUUCGGACCGUCGGUCUACCGAGCAAUAUCACUCGCUUAGUGGAAGAUUUUGGCUCCGUCGU
rnacentral:pre_miRNA from 1 species